GUUGGAUUUGUGUCUUUGCAUAGUGAUAGUAUCUAGUUGCAGAUUCCACCUGCCUCCCCUAAGGGGGUGGGCAGGACCUGUGAAUUCUGAGCCUGCCACAGUCCCUCUCAGCUGUGCCUGUCUGAGCCUGAGCUUCUCCUUGGGACAACAGAGGCCCUGUAGGCUCACCCUCUGAACAGGAAACUGAUCACGCACUGUCUGCUCCCAUAGUCCCCCCAAGGCAUGCUUCCACCUUCAGGGCCACAGUGGUACUCUGCUCAUUCUCAGCAGGUGGGAAGUCAUUCACUCAGGUAGGUAGAUCCACUGUCACUUCUUCCUAAGUCAUGCCAGUCAUUGCGCUUGAUGGAUGGGGCCUCCCCACAGGGUCUGAGCCUGGGCUACUCUCGGGACCAUGGGGUCACUGUGGGCUCUCCCACCAGAUGGGAAAGUGAUCAUGAAGGGGCUCAGGGCUUCUGUCACUUGUUUCCACAGUCACACUGAGGCACACUCCCACCCUAGGGACUGCAGUGGUGCUAUGGUUGCUCCAGCCAGGAAAGGAGUCACAUGCAUUCACAGGGUUGCCUGGGUGCCAGGGAGUGCUCACCUAUCUCCAUCACCUCCUUUGGGGUAGUCCGUCCACCUUCAGAUGUAUAGCAGCAUGGGUCUCUCAGGCAUCCCAUUGUACUGUCUUCACUACUUGGAUCUUGGGACCCUGUGAUACUGAACUUCGUUCUCUAGAUGUUCCUCCAAAGAGAAAGAAGUAACAGAAGUACCGAUGGAAUGUGAUGACCACUGGGCAAGAAGUCUGUACUGAUAGCCAUCAUCAAUGACAACUGGAAGAUUAG
rnacentral:lncRNA from 1 species